rnacentral:snoRNA from 1 species
GAAUGAGAUGAUGAUUUAUUUGUGUUUCCCUAUUGGUUUGAUAGCCGUGAUGAUGGCAUCUUCCAAUGUAUUAGCUCUAUCUGAUCAUUC